rnacentral:rRNA from 1 species
GAUAGAGGGGGCAAGCGUUGCUCGGAAUUACUGGGCGUAAAGGGCGCGUAGGCGGGAUGGCAAGUCGGUCGUGAAAUCCCUCGGCUCAACUGAGGAUCGUCGAUCGAUACUGCCGUUCUUGAGGAUUGCAGAGGAGACUGGAAUUCCCGGUGUAGCGGUGAAAUGUGUAGAGAUCGGGAGGAACACCGGUGGCGAAGGCGGGUCUCUGGGCAGUAACUGACGCUGAGGAGCGAAAGCGUGGGGAGCGAACAGG